rnacentral:rRNA from 2 species
UAGGGAAUCUUCGGCAAUGGGGGGAACCCUGACCGAGCAACGCCGCGUGAGUGAAGAAGGUUUUCGGAUCGUAAAGCUCUGUUGUUAAGGAAGAACGAGUGUGAGAAUGGAAAGUUCAUGCUGUGACGGUACUUAACCAGAAAGGGACGGCUAACUACGUGCCAGCAGCCGCGGUAAUACGUAAGGUCCGAGCGUUGUCCGGAAUCAUUGGGCGUAAAGGGUACGUAGGCGGGUAAGCAAGUUAGAAGUGAAAUCCUGUAGCUCAACUACAGUAAGCUUUUAAAACUGCUCAUCUUGAGAUAUGGAAGGGAAAGUGGAAUUCCUAGUGUAGCGGUGAAAUGCGCAGAUAUUAGGAGGAAUACCGGUGGCGAAGGCGACUUUCUGGCCAUAAUCUGACGCUGAGGUACGAAAGCGUGGGUAGCAAACAGG